rnacentral:rRNA from 1 species
AGAGUUUGAUCCUGGCUCAGAGCGAACGCUGGCGGCAGGCUUAACACAUGCAAGUCGAGCGCUCGUAGCAAUACGAGAGCGGCAGACGGGAGAGUAACACGUGGGAACGUACCCUUCGGUUCGGAAUAACCCAGGGAAACUUGGGCUAAUACCGGAUACGUCCGUAAGGAGAAAGGUUUAUCGCCGAGGGAUCGGCCCGCGUCCGAUUAGCUAGUUGGUGGGGUAAUGGCUCACCAAGGCGACGAUCGGUAGCUGGUCUGAGAGGAUGAUCAGCCUCACUGGGACUGAGACACGGCCCAGACUCCUACGGGAGGCAGCAGUGGGGAAUAUUGGACAAUGGGCGCAAGCCUGAUCCAGCCAUGCCGCGUGGGUGAUGAAGGCCUUAGGGUUGUAAA